rnacentral:ribozyme from 12 species
AACAAGCAAGCAAGCAAGCAAGCAAAAAGACACAUGUGCAUUGCUGUGCUUUCUUGUUUUUGCUUGCGCUCUCUUUUUUCUAUUUAUUCUCUU